GAUGAACGCUAGCUACAGGCUUAACACAUGCAAGUCGAGGGGUAACAAGAGAAAAGCUUGCUUUUCUUGUUGACGACCGGCGCACGGGUGAGUAACGCGUAUCCAACCUGCCUAAAACUAGGGAAUACCCUGGCGAAAGUAAGACUAAUACCCUAUGAUGUCCUUUGAUGACAUCAGAUUAGGAAUAAAGAUUUAUCGGUUAUAGAUGGGGAUGCGUCUGAUUAGCUUGGUGGCGGGGUAACGGCCCACCAAGGCAACGAUCAGUAGGGGUUCUGAGAGGAAGGUCCCCCACAUUGGAACUGAGACACGGUCCAAACUCCUACGGGAGGCAGCAGUGAGGAAUAUUGGUCAAUGGGCGGAAGCCUGAACCAGCCAAGUAGCGUGCAGGAUGACGGCCCUAUGGGUUGUAAACUGCUUUUAUACAGGAAUAAAGUUAGCCACGUGUGGUUAUUUGUAGGUACUGUAUGAAUUGGGACCGGCUAAUUCCGUGCCAGCAGCCGCGGUAA
rnacentral:rRNA from 1 species